CACCUCACAGCCUUAUUAGCAUAAUCGGAACCUUUCUGGUUUUUAUAUUCACGAAAGAAUGAAAAAACCCGAGAAAGUCAAAACUUCGUAUAUCUCGGGAUUUUAACGUGACCAGUCUCAUACUCGUGAAAAUCGAGAGAGGAGUUUAAAUGGAAAAAGUAAGUAAAAGUUUUUGUUUCUUAUAUUGGCAAGCUUUUAAAUUAUUUAAAGUUGCAGAACAAUUGUUUAUUAAUGUGAAGUCGAAGUUUGGGGUGAUUAGCCUUAUCUCGUUAAAUUUUGUUCAGCAUGAAACAGUCUGAACAGCAAUCCUCGAUUUUGUCAACAAUCUAAAACGUGCUAAGGAGUAGUCAUUCGUCGGUAAGAACAUACUUACUUACAUUGUUAAACUACUCAAAAACUCUUUUAAAAGCCUACAAUGCAUUAAGUAUAGUACACAUGUUACAAAAAUGUCGAUAAUUAAUGGUCGUUGUGAAAUGUGACUUGAAAGACAUGUUUUAGUAUGAAAUGUGUAUGCAGGUGUAUUAUAGUCAGUUUUUACACAUAAUGUUACGUAGCAUACGUUAAAAAAAUAUUGUAUGUUUUUCCUACAAUAUUGAGUUUGUGUCAAUCAUGCUUUCAGUCAUUUCCAUACAGAAUUUCCUCGACACGUACAAUGUACACUGUACAUGUGGUUUUGAUAUCUGUAUCUCAUUCAAACUGUUAACUUUAUGUCUUAUUUAUCUAUUAACGAUGAGAGUGUUUAUGAAUCAAGGGUCUGAAUUUGUUAUGUAAUUGAGAGUAUGAGAGAGAGAUAGACUCAGAGAGAGAGAGAGAGAGAGAGUAUGAGAGAGAGAGAGAGAGAGAGAGAGAGAGAGUAAUUACAGUGUACAUGUAAUUGUUAUUGAUUGCCUUGCUUCCAUGAACCAUAUAUAUAUAUAUAUAUUUCAAUAAUGCCACAUUGCACUAGAAAUAUUGCUGACAAAGAUGUUGAGAGAGAGAGAGAGAGAGUAUGAAAACCAUAACAAAUUUUAUAGUUAUAUGUCAUUUCCCACUUAAUGAGUUGUUAUAGCUGUUAUCAUGGUAAUGUUUUGACCUGAUGUCUCAGAUACUGCAUGUGCCCAUAAAAAAGUGUAAUCUAGGACACACCCUUUUGUUUUGAUAAUGACAGCAUUUAGCUUUGUAAUGAUAGCUAGUGUAUCUUUUUUCUUCUAAUCUACAGAUUUACCUGCGGCUUCCAGAUGAUCUGAAGAUCAGGAAUAUAGAAAAUAUUGUCAAUUUGAUAUUGCUAAUGACCCAGUCAAGUCUGCUGAAGCCCAGAAGUUUCCAGACCAUGACAUUAAUGAAUAUUUCUUGAAUGGAAUGCAUGAGGAUUAGAAUGGAACCUUAUUCUGCCUUUUUAUGGAGCCAACCACAGAAGAAUUUGUUCUAUACACAUCAUUCAUAACAUUCUAAUUUGUGUUGCAUAACUUUAAAUGUUACUGGAUGAAUUGUGUUCACAUGAUGAAUACCAGCAAACUUUUUAUCGAGUGCACUUAAUUUGUAUUUUUCCUACCCAUCCAUCUAACGUAUGUUUUUAUAUAACAUAUUCAUAUACAUGUAAUAUUUUUGGAAACAGCUAUUUUUUUUAAAUUGGAAUUUAACCUUACUAUUUUAUACAAGUUUUUUUUUUUAUAAAGGGACUUGGACACGAUAUUAGAUCAAAAUUUUGUUUUCAGUUUCUUUAUGCAUAAAAUGAUUUACUUGCACAUUUUGAAUAAUUGACCAUAAUUUGAAUGUUAGAAGUCAAGUUAUAAGAGAGAUACAGGGGUAAGAAUUUAUUGUUAUGUAAACAAAGCUCGAGUCUUAUGUUUGUUUACAAAUUAUAUAAAGUAUGAAAUUACCAUACUGAUUCGAUGUGAUCAUAAAUGAUAUUAAAUGAUAUUAUUAAUCGAAAAAAGCAACAUUUGAAUGAAACUUACACCAAUAAAACACAUAUGUAAAUAAUAACAAGACUCGCACUUUGUUUUUAAAACAAAGAAUAUUGAAUUCUUUAUCUUUCAUUUAACUCAGUAUUUGACUUUCAAAAUUAGUAUUUUGAUUUUUUUUAGAAUGAUGUAUGCAAUUUCAUUAAUUUAUUUUCCAUUUUAAGAAAAUUUAUUUUAAAAAAGAUCUCUUACAACCUGUGUAUUUUUUUUCAGUUUACAUAACACAGUGUAUUAAUUGAAUGUAGUUGUGUAGAUUUAUACAUGUACCUACAAGCAAUAUACAUUUAAUAUUCACCAGGUACAUGUACCAGCCUACUAUAUUUGAUAAAUAAAUGUACUUCUUUCAUGCCUUUUUCAUGCCUUUUACUCAUUGUUAUAUGUAUUAUUUAUAAUUAAAAUACUUUGAAAACUUUU